AGAAAAUAGACCUCGUACGUAGUUUAGUUUUGACGGAUCAGAAAGGUGGACUCAGGCGCAUCCGGAUCGGAGCUGAGCGGAUCAUGUGGACCACCUCAUAUUGACUACAAUACAAACGUAUUGGUUGUGUUGUUCAGAACGGAGCUGAGCGUAGCGCGGCGGACUCUGUGUGUUGCGGCCUUUAGUCUUCCCACCAUGUCCUGGACCGGCCCUGGGGUUUCCUCCAAGGCUCGUGGCUCACUUCAUCUACCUCCUCUCAGUACGAAGUAGCAGCAGCUCCACUCCAACCCCUUUCCUGGAUGACUGAGUUUCCCUUUUGACUUCUUUUUUAACAGAAUGGCACUUUUCAUCAAAGUCAUCAUUAUUUAGAUAUAGAUCUAGAUGUGUCUGUGUAUUCUGCUGAAUUGCAAGAGCUGAGAGACAAAUUUGUGUGCAUUUGUGUUUGUGUAUCAAGCAAAGUAAUAGCCGGAGCCUCCGCUGUGACAACAUACCAGAAAGAGAGAGAUCCUAUCAAGCAGUCAAUGGGAAUUCUGCUUAAAGCAUAGCAGUGUGUGUGUGUGUGCAGUGGCGGAGCUAGAGGGGGGGCCGGGGUAGCACUGGACCCCCCUAAAAUCUGAUUGGACCCCCCAGGUGCCACCCCAGAUGAUUGACAAUGACAUAUCGCGGCACCGACUGCUAAGUCCUUCCUGUACAGUAGUUGGCGCUAUGUACCAUAAAGCGUUGCAAAUUCGCUUUGAUGAGGAGAAGAAGAAUCGCCACUGAAACGGAGGAAGAUUUGAGAUUUGAGUACCGUUUGAGUAUCGUUGACGGAACGGAACACGGAAGAUAAACAAAGUGACAAGAACAAACAAGGAGACGAACUUGGAUACCCUGCCUUCAAGCCACUGAAAUCCUCGUCGUAAUGGACAGUUCAGAAUGAAAAGGCAGGGGGCGAAGAUUUCCUCUUUUUAAAGCGAUCAAAGUGUGGGACGAGUCAGGCUCAGGAUGAGAAAGAAUCUGGCACACACUGCCCAUCACCAGGACCAUCACAGUGAGACAGAGACAAAACAACUGAAGGGAGAGGGAAAUGAAAAUGAUACAAAAUGGCAAAGUCAGUCCCAAAGAUGCUAAUGGAAGUGCUUCCAGCCCAGGAGUAAGCUCAUAAAAUCACGCAUAACGUACUUCUGUAGCCUGAGUAGCAGUCUUCUCCUUCUGAGUAAUGCAUAUUGCCAUGUCUGUGAAUCACUGACUGUAAAUAAUGUAAUAAAAGGAGUCUGUGAUGUGCAUGUGAAAAUAUCCUGAUGAACGACAGGUCUCCACGCCUGAAUUACUGUAGGUCAUCGUGUGAAACUUUAUUAUUGAUCCCAUGGAGAUGUUCCGUUAUGUUCUGCAUUUGAUUAGGCUGUAUAAGUACAGAUCCUAAUUAGUCUUUUUUUUCUCAACUGCCUUAACACCACCCACUAAAUAAUCUCCAAACAGAAAAUGAUGUCACACCCAGAAUGAGCUGCAGAUUCUUGCAUUCUACCUGCAUGCUAAACAUGACCUUUCUAUUCUUAACAUUUGACCAUUCUGUCAGCAUGUACUAUGUAGAACAACACUACAAAGCUAGGAAUGAUCAUCAAUUAUGGUUGUGUUGUCACAUCCAGAAUGUAUUUAUUUGUUUGCUUGUUUGAUUAGGAUACUGCACAUUAAUCAAUAUGUCAGCCCAGAGCAUCAAUGUAAAUAUGCCAGAAUUAGCAUAGCAGCUAAUUCACUUCCGUUGCUCUAAGGCAGGUCAAGGACAUAAAAACAAUAUACUGAGUAUACAAAUUUAAAAAACAAAAACACACAGUUGUACAGUUAUCUGGGAGUCCUCACUUUUUUUUAGUAAGAGUUAGUACCUGAAUUACUCUAUAGUAAAAGUAACUAGUUACCAGGUAAAGUAACUAUUUCCGUUACUUUAAAAAGUUGUUGUAUGUCAAAGAAUUUGAACUUUUCCAAGCAGUAUUUGAGUUGUGUUGUAGAACCUUGUAAUAUUUAUUGCACCUCACCAGCAACAGAUUUAUCUGUACACUUGAAGUGCAACAAAAAUAAACAGAUUUGAAUUGCUUACCACAGAUGUCGACAAAAGCUUUGCCCCGGGACAUAAAUUACACUUUACAUGCACAUUCUUUCCUUUAAUUUCGACCAACUUGAAAUAGUGUUCAUAUCUCCACCACGUAAAGGACAAAUUUUCCUCUGAAUGCUCUGUCAUCAUAUCCCUCUGCAUCUGUUUUGCAUGUGUGUUUUUGCCGCAUGUGUUGUUCCGGUUUGUGUGUGAAAACACCGCCUCUGAAGUACGUGUGCUAUUAGGCUCGAGCGUUACUUCACAGAAUGGGGGAUAACGUGAGAUUUGACAACAAUGCAACCAUAUUGGAAGCAGGUCUGGCUCGCGGGACCUUAAACUUUAAUUUGCCAGUUCGAUAAAGAGACAAACUCAUUACUAAGGCAAAGAACAGAUAUGUGAUCAAACUUAAGGAUGUAAACAAUGUUGACCCUUACGAGCAAGCCGAAGACAAAUGGACUAAAGAUGUCAACGGGCUUCCACAAUUACGCGAAAUGGACAUUCUGCUGUAUUUAUUGUUUGGUGUAUGUUACUAAACUCAUUAGCGAUUCCAAAAUUACAAAUCGCUACAAAGCAACGAACAGUUUUGCUGCGGAUGGGUGCAAGACUUGCACAUUAUGACUGUAUCAAACGGCAACUCCGUCGUUCUUGCAGAGGUUGGUCAUGUGUGUUUACUAUUUUCAUUGCCAUGAACCUGAACGCACCCCAAGUCUUGGAUGACAAAUAAAAAGAGCAGACUCGC